rnacentral:ribozyme from 1 species
AGCCCAGCAACUCCUAUUCCUAACUCCUCGCGGUUCUGGCCGGGGUACGAUCAACCUUAGAGAAGAUCGGGUAAUCAAUCCCAAUGGGAAAUAUGGUCGUAUGCUGACAGGGAAGG